ACGUAGGACGCAAGCGUUAUCCGGAAUUACUGGGCGUAAAGCGCGUGUAGGUGGUUGCAUAAGUCACUGUUGAAAGCUCCCGGCUAAACUGGGAGAGGUGCGGUGAGACUGUGCGGCUAGAGUAUGGAAGAGGGGUGCAGAAUUCCGGGUGUAGUGGUGAAAUGCGUAGAGAUCCGGAGGAAUACCAGAGGCGAAGGCGGCAUCCUGGUCCAAAACUGACACUGAGACGCGAAAGCAUGGGGAGCGAACGGGA
rnacentral:rRNA from 1 species